GUGAGGAAUAUUGGACAAUGGGCGCAAGCCUGAUCCAGCCAUGCCGCGUGCAGGAAGACGCAUCUAUGGUGUGUAAACUGCUUUUGUACGGGAAGAAACACUCCCUCGUGAGGGAGCUUGACGGUACCGUAAGAAUAAGGAUCGGCUAACUCCGUGCCAGCAGCCGCGGUAAUACGGAGGAUCCAAGCGUUAUCCGGAAUCAUUGGGUGUAAAGGGUCCGUAGGAGGUUUAAUAAGUCAGUGGGGAAAGCCCAUCGCUCAACGAUGGAACGGCCAUUGAUACUGUUAGACUUGAAUUACAAGGAAGUAACUAGAAUGUGUAGUGUAGCGGUGAAAUGCUUAGAUAUUACAUGGAAUACCAAUUGCGAAGGCAGGUUACUACUUGUGGAUUGACGCUGAUGGACGAAAGCGUGGGGAGUGAACAGGAUUAGAAACCCUGGUAGUCC
rnacentral:rRNA from 1 species